GAUGAACGCUAGCUACAGGCUUAACACAUGCAAGUCGAGGGGAAACGGCAUUAAGUGCUUGCACUUUUUGGACGUCGACCGGCGCACGGGUGAGUAACGCGUAUCCAACCUGCCCCUUACCAGGGAAUAACCCGUUGAAAGACGGACUAAUGCCCUAUGCAGUCCUUUGACGGCAUCAGAUUAGGACUAAAGAUUCAUCGGUAUGGGAUGGGGAUGCGUCUGAUUAGCUUGUUGGCGGGGUAACGGCCCACCAAGGCAUCGAUCAGUAGGGGUUCUGAGAGGAAGGUCCCCCACAUAGGAACUGAGACACGGUCCUAACUCCUACGGGAGGCAGCAGUGAGGAAUAUUGGUCAAUGGGCGGUAGCCUGAACCAGCCAAGUAGCGUGCAGGAUGACGGCCAUAUGGGUUGUAAACUGCUUUUAUGCGGGGAUAAAGUCACCCACGUGUGGGUGUUUGCAGGUACCGAAUGAAUAAGGACCGGCUAAUUCCGUG
rnacentral:rRNA from 1 species